GUCUAUGGCCAUGCCACCCUGAACAAGCCCGAUGUCUGAUCUUGGAAGCUAAGCAGGGUCGGGCCUGGUUAGUACUUGGAUGGGAGACCACCUAGGAAGACCAGGUGCUGUAGGCA
rnacentral:rRNA from 1 species